rnacentral:rRNA from 1 species
UACGAGUGCCCCGAGCGUUAUCCGGAAUUAUUGGGCGUAAAGGGUGUGUAGGUGGUUGUGUUAGUCUUGUGUUAAAUUCUUCGGCUUAACCGGGCAAGGCAUAGGAUACGGCACAACUAGAGGAUGCGAGAGGUGAAUGGAACUCAUGGAGUAGGGGUGAAAUCCGUUGAUAUCAUGGGGAACACCAAUGCGAAGGCAAUUCACUGGCAGCACUCCUGACACUGAGACACGAAAGCGUAGGUAGCGAAUGGG